rnacentral:rRNA from 1 species
UGCAGUCGAACGCUUCUUUUUCCACCGGAGCUUGCUCCACCGGAAAAAGAGGAGUGGCGAACGGGUGAGUAACACGUGGGUAACCUGCCCAUCAGAAGGGGAUAACACUUGGAAACAGGUGCUAAUACCGUAUAACAAUCGAAACCGCAUGGUUUUGAUUUGAAAGGCGCUUUCGGGUGUCGCUGAUGGAUGGACCCGCGGUGCAUUAGCUAGUUGGUGAGGUAACGGCUCACCAAGGCGACGAUGCAUAGCCGACCUGAGAGGGUGAUCGGCCACAUUGGGACUGAGACACGGCCCAAACUCCUACGGGAGGCAGCAGUAGGGAAUCUUCGGCAAUGGACGAAAGUCUGACCGAGCAACGCCGCGUGAGUGAAGAAGGUUUUCGGAUCGUAAAACUCUGUUGUUAGAGAAGAACAAGGAUGAGAGUAACUGUUCAUCCCUUGACGGUAUCUAACCAGAAAGCCACGGCUAACUACGUGC